CCACUGCACUCCAGCCUGGACAACAGAACGAGACCCUAUCUCAAGAAAGAAAAAAAAGAAUUAACUGUAUGUGAACAAUAUAACAUGUCAUGAUCCACUUAUUCUGUUAUACAAUUUCAGACCAGAGAGGUGCGCCAUAUUUCUCAUCUGAAUUUCACUGCCUGGCCAGACCAUGAUACACCUUCUCAACCAGAUGAUCUGCUUACUUUUAUCUCCUACAUGAGACACAUCCACAGAUCAGGCCCAAUCAUUACGCACUGCAGUGCUGGCAUUGGACGUUCAGGGACCCUGAUUUGCAUAGAUGUGGUUCUGGGAUUAAUCAGUCAGGAUCUUGAUUUUGACAUCUCUGAUUUGGUGCGCUGCAUGAGACUACAAAGACACGGAAUGGUUCAGACAGAGGUGAGUCAUGGCUGGGCCUCCUAAUGAGAAUUUUUGUAAAGAUUCUAAUAUUUUUUAAGGUUCUUAUUAAACCAUUUUUCUUUUUUGAGAGUUCCCAUGUUAGAGCAUAAAACCAAACAUUUACUGCAGUGAGGGGCAUUUUUUUUUAAAUGAGGACUAAU
rnacentral:lncRNA from 1 species